rnacentral:lncRNA from 1 species
CCCGCCCCCGCGGUGCCUACAGAAGCAAGGAGUAGACUGACCAGCCUGAGGGGCGACCAAGCGAGGGGCUUGAUCGAGCGCCGGGUCUGCGAGGCUGCAGAGUCUUGCUAUGUAGUUCAGGUUGGCCUCAAACUCAAGCUGAUCCUCCUGCUUUAGCCUCGUGUGUGCAGCUGCCGGAAGGGGAGGCUCCCCAGUGCCCUCUAUGCCCUGGCUGCCUAGAGAUCCUCACUCCUGGACACUAGGAACCAAGACCCUAGGACUGAGCACAUGCUCUGUGCUGGCCUCUGAGGCUGCACCUCCUUAGUGCUGAUGCACUGAAGGGAAGGACAGGGGGAAGG